CCCUUAGAUGUUCUGGGCCGCACGCGCGCUACACUGACGAAUGCAACGAGCUUAUAACCUUGGCCGAAAGGUCUGGGUAAUCUCCAAAUUUCGUCGUGAUGGGGAUAGAUUAUUGCAAUUAUUAAUCUUCAACGAGGAAUGCCUAGUAAGCGCAAGUCAUCAGCUUGCGUUGAUUACGUCCCUGCCCUUUGUACACACCGCCCGUCGCUCCUACCGAUUGAAUGGUCCGGUGAAGCGUUCGGACCGUGGCCUUUGGACGGUUCGCCGUCUGUUGGCUGCGGGAAGUUCGUUAAACCUUAUCAUUUAGAGGAAGGAGACNUCGUAACA
rnacentral:rRNA from 1 species